CUUAUUAUAGGAAGCGGUCAAUGC
rnacentral:siRNA from 1 species